AGUCACCAGCUCAACCAGGGAAGGAAACGCACCACCCUGCUAGCCCUGCUUCAGCCUUGGGUGAGGCUGUGAAGGCUGGUGACGGGAAAACUGGAGCAGAGAAGACAAAUCCAGCCUGAGCCAAGAGGCCUCUGCAUCGCUGGUCAGGAAAAAGCAACUGCUAGAUUUCUGGUUUGCCCCUCAGACCGUGGAGCUCCGGGUCACCAGCCUGAACCGCUUAAUGCACAUCACGCCUGGGUUUAGUUGGAAAUGGCUGAAGGCACUUAAAUGGAACUCCCAACCUUUGUCCUCAGCUUCCGAAACCACAGCACUGUGUCGGGGCCUUUCCAAUGGAACAUGAACACAACAUUGCACAGAGUAGAAAUGGAAGCUUUCCAAAAGAAAAAUGACUUUCCUAAGGACAGAAGAGUAUGACAAACAGAAUAGUGCUACCCUUCCCAAAGAUGUUUACCUGUGGCUGGGUGCGG
rnacentral:lncRNA from 1 species